UAGCAACUGGUUUCAGUUUAGAUCCAAAUGAAAUUGUAACCAGAAGUUUAACUGAAAGCAAGUAACAUGCAGUGCUUGCUAAGACAGCAGCAGCUAGUCCUACUUAUACUGAGCAAUUAAGUUUAGCUGUUUGAGCAACCCUAGCAAACAUUCUAAUAGAAGUUUGUAUUAAUUAGUCUAAUACAGUUUUGUAUUAGACCAAUAGAAAUUUCUAUUAGUCGUACUGAUUUAUCUAUAAGACCAAUAGGCCGUGUGUAUUAGACUUAUUAGUCUUAUACAAGCAGUGUUGCGUGUCUGCUAGUUUCUCUAAUAGACUAAUAGGUCCUAUAUUAUGCAGAUGGUUGCUGGUCUGAUACAACAUGUACUGCUGGAUUCCGCAGCUCUUGUUUGCUGGUGAAAGUUAAUUGACAAAAAAUUAGACCAGCGGACCGCUUGCUUGCAUGGAAAGGUGUUUCUAAUUAAUCACUGAAUAAUUAAAGAUGCUGCUGUACAAUUGUGCAGCAGAUUGCGUUCGCACGUUUGCAUUAGUUUCAGCGUCAUCUCAGCGACAUACACAAAAGCGACGUGCAUCUACAUGGUCUUGGCAAUUUUACUUCAGUGAGCCUCGUCCCGAUGAGUCGUUGAGGAAACAGCUAGUGUUUACAGCACAGCGAAUACUUCCCCGCGAAAAAAAAAAAAAAAAAAAACCCGAACAACCAGCCGUCAGAUCGCGGUGCCCAGUCAGCUUACGAACAACGGUGCAAUAGCAGCAACCAUAUUUGUUUGCCGCUGAAGUUUUGUCAGUGUCGUAUUUUCUGUUGAAGCGCGCAUAAACUAAAUGGUAAACCUUGAAUCUAAAUUGCUAACUUGAUACCGCAUAUAAAAGGCCGUAAUAUUUAUUGACAUCAAAGAGCAGUAUCGCAGAGAAGGGAACACGGCGGGCAGGAAGGACAUAAAACUGCUACCGUAAUCAGCCGUAGUUGCGGACAGCACGUGUGUAAUGGCGGCUGCCAUGUCUAGGCGAGGCGUCACGCGAGGCGUGCGUGCGUGCGUGUUAGUGAAUGAACGAUGUGUUUUUAAGGAACCUGUGGUGUUAGCGCCUGCGCAAUCUGAUUCGUGCAGUAGUAUAUUUGGAUAGUUUUAUCUAUGGCUGCUGUUUUGACUUCAAAACAACGCAAGGCAACUGUUUUACCCCUGUCCUUCACGGCUUUGUGGAUCUAUCAGCGUGCAUCGAUGUGCAGUGUUUUCCCCGGCGCCAAUUUACCAUUUCGAGGUUUUUUAAACCACUUCCAAAAAAGGACGUCCUUUGGUCGAAGUCAACGAAAAGCAAGAUUCUGACAAAUCAAGAUUGCUGACCUGACGAAGAUCUCGAAAGAGGAAUUUGUAAAAAUACAUGCUGUGCUAAUAAAUGCUUUUAGCAAUUUUA